GAUGAACGCUGGCGGCGUGCUUAACACAUGCAAGUCGAACGGGAAAUAUUUCAUUGAGACUUCGGUGGAUUUGAUCUAUUUCUAGUGGCGGACGGGUGAGUAACGCGUGGGUAACCUGCCUUAUACAGGGGGAUAACAGUCAGAAAUGGCUGCUAAUACCGCAUAAGCGCACAGGGCUGCAUGGCUCAGUGUGAAAAACUCCGGUGGUAUAAGAUGGACCCGCGUUGGAUUAGCUAGUUGGUGGGGUAACGGCCCACCAAGGCGACGAUCCAUAGCCGGCCUGAGAGGGUGAACGGCCACAUUGGGACUGAGACACGGCCCAGACUCCUACGGGAGGCAGCAGUGGGGAAUAUUGCACAAUGGGGGAAACCCUGAUGCAGCGACGCCGCGUGAAGGAAGAAGUAUCUCGGUAUGUAAACUUCUAUCAGCAGGGAAGAUAGUGACG
rnacentral:rRNA from 1 species